rnacentral:hammerhead_ribozyme from 1 species
AUCCAGCUGAAAAGUCGGAAAUAAGACGAAACACGCGUCAAACUGGAU